CAAAGUUGUUGCCUAGUGAGGGAGAGAAAAGGAAAGUGGGGUGUUGUAGAUAGAACAUACCCAACGAAGUAGGAAGAAGUUCCAUAAUAAGCUGUCAAACCAAUGGCAUAGUCCCCAGUUCGUGUCCAUACAGACACCACAAGUGAUAUAUUGAACUCCAAGAUGGUGAUGUAACUGCUUCACAAUUGAAGAGGAUUUUUAUAGGUACCACUGAAAGACCAUUGUUCUAUUCAUUGCUUCCAAUUGAUUCUAAGUUGCACUUAACAAUCUAGGUUUAAGUUAAAGAAAAAAAAUUUCUAAUUAUCCCCCUCCCUGGCAACUAUGUUACAUGGACUCGAGUACAAGUUCUUGUCUAAAGGUUGGACCUAUCAAACCUCAAAUUUAAGGAUACGUGGACUCGCCAAGAAAGGGUUAUAUUUAUAUAUUUUCAAUCUAUUAUGUUGUACAAAAUGGUGUUAUAUAUGUAACAUAUAAUGUCAAGAAGGCAUUAUACUGAUUUUAUAGCAAUUAUACAACACUAAAAAAAUAUGAUGAUAGUGUUAAAUACAAAUAUAUAAAUGUCCAAUGGAAAAUAUCAGACACAUAUCCCAUACAGUUAUCCAAGUGUUAGGUGUGUCCGACACGGGUAUUUGAUUUAUUUUGAAAAGUCCAUAUAACAUAGGUUGGCAAGAUGAUGAGAAAACACCCUCAACCCCAGAAAAUUUCUGACAGGACCCUUCGAACCUUGUUUUUGAUAGUUCAUUAACUCCUUGCUUGAGGUGCACUCCUCUAUAUAAGAACUCUCAUUUUGCCACAAAGACAUCUCCAAAAAUUGGCCCGUGAAGAUCCUCCAAAGAAGAAAAUAAAUUCAUAAAUUAAGGUACAUGUCCAAGUUGUUGGGACAUUUUCUUUACUAACAAAUACCCUUAUGGUCCUCCUACCUACCUCAACCUAGACCAUUCUACCUAGAGCCUCAUGUGAUUGCGAAAAAUCCACUUAACUUCAUCACCCAGCCCAAUACUAGUGAACCAAAAUGAGACCUUGUGUGCACCAUCCUCGUGACGUGGCCGUCUCAUGUCCAUACACCUACCCUUAAUCGACUUUCACAUACUGCUUGAAUGUGAAAAGCCCUGGGCACCACGUGGUCUGCUUCAGAACAUUUGCCAAUUAUCACACAUGCUACAAUACACUGCCCCAGGUCAUCCUUUUGCCUCCAUCCACGCACAUACAUCACGUGACCUGCAACGGAAGCCUUUGAUCUGGGGUUCUUUCUACUGACUCAUUGGCACUCUCAUAGGAGGAACUGAGAAGAUGAACGACACACAAACCAACAUCACCAACCACCCCCCUUUGCAUGUCAACCUCUAUCCCACAAAAGCUUGUCUUCAACUUCUCCAACCCCAAUGACUUCGCCAAUGUAUAAUUUGCCUCUAAAUGUCUCCAAUAGCUGAUCCGAUCGAUCCACUCACUAGAUUUUAUCCUCCUUAACUUGAACAUCCAACUUU